rnacentral:rRNA from 1 species
AGUUUGAUCCUGGCUCAGAUUGAACGCUGGCGGCAGGCCUAACACAUGCAAGUCGAACGGUAACAGGAAGCAGCUUGCUGCUUCGCUGACGAGUGGCGGACGGGUGAGUAAUGUCUGGGAAACUGCCUGAUGGAGGGGGAUAACUACUGGAAACGGUAGCUAAUACCGCAUAACGUCGCAAGACCAAAGAGGGGGACCUUAGGGCCUCUUGCCAUCGGAUGUGCCCAGAUGGGAUUAGCUAGUAGGUGGGGUAACGGCUCACCUAGGCGACGAUCCCUAGCUGGUCUGAGAGGAUGACCAGCCACACUGGAACUGAGACACGGUCCAGACUCCUACGGGAGGCAGCAGUGGGGAAUAUUGCACAAUGGGCGCAAGCCU